rnacentral:rRNA from 1 species
UACGGGGGGAGCAAGCGUUGUUCGGAUUUACUGGGCGUAAAGGGCGCGUAGGCGGCCUCUGCAAGUCGACUGUGAAAUCUCCGGGCUUAACCCGGAAAGGUCAGCCGAUACUGCAGGGCUAGAGUGCAGAAGGGGCAACUGGAAUUCUCGGCGUAGCGGUGAAAUGCGCAGAUAUCAGGAGGAACACCGGUGGCGAAGGCGGGUCUCUGGGCCGAUACUGACGCUGAGGAGCGAAAGCGUGGGGAGCGAACAGG